rnacentral:tRNA from 2 species
GCGCCCUUAGCUCAACUGGAUAGAGUGUCUGACUACGGAUCAGAAGGUUGCGGAUUCGAUUUCUGCAGGGCGCGCCA